GACGAACGCUGGCGGCGUGCCUAACACAUGCAAGUCGAGCGAGUGAAUCUCCUUCGGGAGUGAAGCUAGCGGCGGACGGGUGAGUAACACGUGGGCAACCUGCCUCAUAGAGGGGAAUAGCCUUUCGAAAGGAAGAUUAAUACCGCAUAAGAUUGUAGCUUCGCAUGAAGUAGCAAUUAAAGGAGCAAUCCGCUAUGAGAUGGGCCCGCGGCGCAUUAGCUAGUUGGUGAGGUAACGGCUCACCAAGGCGACGAUGCGUAGCCGACCUGAGAGGGUGAUCGGCCACAUUGGGACUGAGACACGGCCCAGACUCCUACGGGAGGCAGCAGUGGGGAAUAUUGCACAAUGGGGGAAACCCUGAUGCAGCAACGCCGCGUGAGUGAUGACGGCCUCGGUUGUAAGACUCUGUCUUCAGGGACGAGUAAUGACGGUACCGUGAGGAGGAAGCCGACGGCUAACUAACGUGCCAGCAGCCGAC
rnacentral:rRNA from 1 species